UACGGGGGGGCAAGCGUUGUUCGGAAUUCCUGGGCGUAAAGGGCUCGUAGGCGGCCAACUAAGUCAGACGUGAAAUCCCUCGGCUUAACCGGGGAACGGCGUCUGAUACUGGAUGGCUUGAAUCCGGGAGAGGGAUGCGGAAUUCCAGGUGUAGCGGUGAAAUGCGUAGAGAUCGGGAGGAAGGCCGGUGGCGAAGGCGGCGCUCUGGAACAUUUCUGACGCUGAGGCUCGAAAGCGUGGGGAGCAAACAGG
rnacentral:rRNA from 1 species